GACGAACGCUGGCGGCGCGCCUAACACAUGCAAGUCGAACGAGCGAGAGGAGGUUUACUUUCUCAAGCGAGUGGCGAACGGGUGAGUAACGCGUGAGGAACCUGCCUCAAAGAGGGGGACAACAGUUGGAAACGACUGCUAAUACCGCAUAAGCCCACGACCCGGCAUCGGGUAGAGGGAAAAGGAGCAAUCCGCUUUGAGAUGGCCUCGCGUCCGAUUAGCUAGUUGGUGAGGUAAUGGCCCACCAAGGCGACGAUCGGUAGCCGGACUGAGAGGUUGAACGGCCACAUUGGGACUGAGACACGGCCCAGACUCCUACGGGAGGCAGCAGUGGGGAAUAUUGCACAAUGGGGGAAACACUGAUGCAGCGACGCCGCGUGGAGGAAGAAGGUCUUCGGAUUGUAAACUCCUGUUGUUGAGGAAGAUAAUGACGGUACUCAACAAGGAAGUGACGGCUAACUACGUG
rnacentral:rRNA from 1 species